rnacentral:rRNA from 1 species
GACGAACGCUGGCGGCGUGCCUAAUACAUGCAAGUAGAACGCAGUUGCGAAUGGGUGAGUAACGCGUAGGUAACUGCCUAGUAGAGGGGGAUAAAUAUUGGAAACGAUAGCUAAUAGCGCAUACUAGUAGAUGGAUCUGCGUUGUAUUAGCUAGUCGGGAGGGUAAUGGCCUACCUAGGCGACGAUACAUAGCCGAGCUGGGAGGGUGAUCGGGCACACUGGGACUGAGACACGGCCCAGACUCCUACGGGAGGCAGCAGUAGGGAAACUUCGGCAAUGGGGGGAACCCUGACCGAGCAACGCCGUGUGAUGGAAGAAGGGUUUCGGAUCGUAAAGCUCUGUUGUUAAGGAAGCGGUACUUAACCAGAAAGGGACGGCUAACUACGUGCCAGCAGCCGCGGUAAUUC